rnacentral:rRNA from 1 species
ACACGUAGGGAGCAAGCGUUGUCCGGAUUUAUUGGGCGUAAAGAGCUCGUAGGCGGUUUCGUAAGUCGGAUGUGAAAACUCAGGGCUCAACCCUGAGACGCCAUCUGAUACUGCGAUGACUAGAGUCCGGUAGAGGAGCAUGGAAUUCCUGGUGUAGCGGUGGAAUGCGCAGAUAUCAGGAGGAACACCAAUGGCGAAGGCAGUGCUCUGGGCCGGUACUGACGCUGAGGAGCGAAAGCAUGGGGAGCAAACAGGAUUAGAAACCCCAGUAGUCC